ACCUGGUGUUUUUCCUUUUUUUUUUUUUUUUGACAGAAACACUUCUUAAUAACAAAACUUGGUCAUUGUAUAAACAGUACUGGCCUUUUUGAUGUGCUAAAAAUUAAGCGGUUCAUUUCUUUUCUUUUCUUUUUUUCAUUAUUAACUUGAGUAUUUCUUAUUUACAUUUCGAUUGUUAUUCCCUUUCCCGGUUUCCGGGCCAACAUCCCCCUCCCCCUCCCCCUCCCCUUCUAUAUGUGUGUUCCGCUUCCCAUCCUCCCCCCAUUACCGCCCUCCCCCAACAAUCACGUUCACUGGGGGUUCAGUCUUAGCAGGACCAAGGGCUACCACUUCCACUGGUGCUCUUACUAGGAUAUUCAUUGCUACCUAAAGCGGUUCAUUUCUUAACCAUCCACAUUUGUUAUAUAGUAUUCCAACUGUAAGAUGUUAGCAUACAGUUACAGCUGCCCAUUGGCUUGGUUGCCACUUUAUGCUCCACUUUUACAAUCUGUCUGUCUGUCUGACAUGCCUGUUAAGACAGUUGCAUAGGAAAAUGGGAUCACUGUUAUGGUGAUAUUUCAAGUGUUAGAAGCUAUAUGCAAAUUCCUCAGCUUCGACCUGAAUGUUAUACAUGUCAAGAACACAAUAGCCAUGGGAAGAAAAAUGAGGAGGAGGAAGACGAGAACAAGAGGGAGGAAGAGCCUGCCAUCACCCUCUCCUUACGGCUUCAACCCCAGCUGCCCACCUUGAGGACUCCGUUGUUGGGCACUGGAAGUGCUUCCCACCGUCUCUGGGCCUCAGCGAUAAUGUACUUCGAGAGGAGGCUGAUUGCGCCGACUGAAAUCCAUCCUGGCCAAAGGCUGCAGCUGUUUCCAUUUACAGCCUGUAUUUUUGGAGCUCGUGCCUGUUCCAGGGAAGGAUGGGAUAAUUGAUUUAAAUCAAAUUAUGAAACAUGAUACUCUGAAUUCCUAAAAACAUGUUUCCCGGCUCUGCGUUCAGGAAUGGAGCCUUACAGGUAUUGUGGGACGGGGAUGGCAGAGGCUGCGCCUCUCUCUCUCUCA
rnacentral:lncRNA from 1 species